AUGUAAUUGUAAUAACAUUAUAAUUCCUCAUAGUGCAUUUACAGGAAAAUAAUUGUAUAACUUGAUUGUAAAACCUAUUUGUAUAACCAUCAUUAUUAGCAUAUAGACUUUCUAUAAUAAGCCAUGUUAUUGUAUAUUGCCUGUAUAUCUCAAUAUUCUUAAUUACGUAUUGUAUUGUAUAUAUUUUUGCCCUGUUUCUCUAUUCAGAGCUACUCCACAGGGGGAAAAACAGACUUAUUGCCCCCUUUACCCCCAUCUUCAAGAGAUCCCCAUGUUCCUCACCCCCCACACCACCACCAUCACCACCACCAUCACCAUCGCAGCCAUAUGUCUGUCUGUCUGCUACCGCCACCUAUGUCUUCCAAGUCCGAGCUGUUCAAAGAGAGAGAGACGCCGCCACCCAUCAGGCCUCUUGAGAGUGAAACAGAUGCUGUGCUGACUAGACUGUGUGGGUGUGACAAGCUUCUCCAGUCUCUCUCUCUAGAGCUGGCCCAUCUACAAGUUGACAAGGUCAGUCCCUUCAGCUUACAGUUUC